ACAUGCAAGUCGAGCGAACGGACGAGAAGCUUGCUUCUCUGAUGUUAGCGGCGGACGGGUGAGUAACACGUGGAUAACCUACCUAUAAGACUGGGAUAACUUCGGGAAACCGGAGCUAAUACCGGAUAAUAUUUUGAACCGCAUGGUUCAAAAGUGAAAGACGGUCUUGCUGUCACUUAUAGAUGGAUCCGCGCUGCAUUAGCUAGUUGGUAAGGUAACGGCUUACCAAGGCAACGAUGCAUAGCCGACCUGAGAGGGUGAUCGGCCACACUGGAACUGAGACACGGUCCAGACUCCUACGGGAGGCAGCAGUAGGGAAUCUUCCGCAAUGGGCGAAAGCCUGACGGAGCAACGCCGCGUGAGUGAUGAAGGUCUUCGGAUCGUAAAACUCUGUUAUUAGGGAAGAACAUAUGUGUAAGUAACUGUGCACAUCUUGACGGUACCUAAUCAGAAAGCCACGGCUAACUACGUGCCAGCAGCCGCGGUAAUACGUAGGUGGCAAGCGUUAUCCGGAAUUAUUGGGCGUAAAGCACGCGUAGGCGGUUUUUUAAGUCUGAUGUGAAAGCCCACGGCUCAACCGUGGAGGGUCAUUGGAAACUGGAAAACUUGAGUGCAGAAGAGGAAAGUGGAAUUCCAUGUGUAGCGGUGAAAUGCGCAGAGAUAUGGAGGAACACCAGUGGCGAAGGCGACUUUCUGGUCUGUAACUGACGCUGAUGUGCGAAAGCGUGGGGAUCAAACAGGAUUAGAUACCCUGGUAGUCCACGCCGUAAACGAUGAGUGCUAAGUGUUAGGGGGUUUCCGCCCCUUAGUGCUGCAGCUAACGCAUUAAGCACUCCGCCUGGGGAGUACGACCGCAAGGUUGAAACUCAAAGGAAUUGACGGGGACCCGCACAAGCGGUGGAGCAUGUGGUUUAAUUCGAAGCAACGCGAAGAACCUUACCAAAUCUUGACAUCCUUUGACAACUCUAGAGAUAGAGCUUUCCCCUUCGGGGGACAAAGUGACAGGUGGUGCAUGGUUGUCGUCAGCUCGUGUCGUGAGAUGUUGGGUUAAGUCCCGCAACGAGCGCAACCCUUAAGCUUAGUUGCCAUCAUUAAGUUGGGCACUCUAAGUUGACUGCCGGUGACAAACCGGAGGAAGGUGGGGAUGACGUCAAAUCAUCAUGCCCCUUAUGAUUUGGGCUACACACGUGCUACAAUGGACAAUACAAAGGGCAGCGAAACCGCGAGGUCAAGCAAAUCCCAUAAAGUUGUUCUCAGUUCGGAUUGUAGUCUGCAACUCGACUACAUGAAGCUGGAAUCGCUAGUAAUCGUAGAUCAGCAUGCUACGGUGAAUACGUUCCCGGGUCU
rnacentral:rRNA from 1 species